UACGUAGGGUGCAAGCGUUGUCCGGAUUUAUUGGGCGUAAAGAGCGUGUAGGCGGCCAGGUAGGUCUGCUGUGAAAACUCGAGGCUCAACCUCGAGACGUCGGCGGAAACCAUCUGGCUAGAGUCCGGAAGAGGAGAGUGGAAUUCCUGGUGUAGCGGUGAAAUGCGCAGAUAUCAGGAAGAACACCCGUGGCGAAGGCGGCUCUCUGGGACGAUACUGACGCUGAGACGCGAAAGCGUGGGGAGCGAACAGG
rnacentral:rRNA from 1 species